ensembl:lncRNA
GUAAUAUUUCUGACCACUGUGUCGUGACUGUGGCUGUGGUAGGAAGCAUUGCCAUUCUACUCAUUCUGGCUGUGUUUCUUGGUGUCCGGAAAUUCCAAAAGACUGGCACUAUGACUGUUAAUGAAGUGAAGAGCUCUCUGCACUGCACAGCAUAUGCUUUGUUGCUCGGCUUGUGUUUUGGAUGACUGAGAACCAACAGAGACAUCAAGCAACAAUACAAAAACAUGAAGGGCACAAACUCCCCUGCAGGCAGCUCUUCUAAGCAGUAUUUUAAUGAAAAGUGUGAUUGAUAUGAAUAUCUUGUGUAAGGUGAC